ACGAACGCUGGCGGCAGGCCUAACACAUGCAAGUCGAACGCCGUAGCAAUACGGAGUGGCAGACGGGUGAGUAACGCGUGGGAACAUACCCCUCGGUUCGGAAUAACUCAGGGAAACGUUAGAGCUAAUACCGGAUACGUCCGAGGUUUUAAUUCGACCUUGGAGAAAGAUUUAUCGCCGGAGGAUUGGCCCGCGUCUGAUUAGCUUGCUGGUGAGGUAAUGGCUCACCAAGGCGACGANCAGUAGCUGGUCUGAGAGGAUGAUCAGCCACAUUGGGACUGAGACACGGCCCAAACUCCUACGGGAGGCAGCAGU
rnacentral:rRNA from 1 species